rnacentral:rRNA from 1 species
GGGCCUUGUACACACCGCCCGUCACACCAUGGAAGUUGGCCAUGCCCGAAGUCGUUACUCCAACCCUUGUGGAGGAGGACGCCGAAGGUGGGGCUAAUGACUGGGGUGAAGUCGUAACAAGGUAGCCGUACCGGAAGGUGCGGCUGGAUCACCUCCUAA